GAUGAACGCUGGCGGCGUGCUUAACACAUGCAAGUCGAACGGAAAGGCCCAAGCUUGCUUGGGUCCUCGAGUGGCGAACGGGUGAGUAACACGUGGGUGAUCUGCCCUGCACUUCGGGAUAAGCCUGGGAAACUGGGUCUAAUACCGGAUAGGACCACAUUUUGGAUGGUGUGGUGGAAAGUUUUUCGGUGUGGGAUGAGCUCGCGGCCUAUCAGCUUGUUGGUGGGGUAAUGGCCUACCAAGGCGUCGACGGGUAGCCGGCCUGAGAGGGUGUACGGCCACAUUGGGACUGAGAUACGGCCCAGACUCCUACGGGAGGCAGCAGUGGGGAAUAUUGCACAAUGGGCGCAAGCCUGAUGCAGCGACGCCGCGUGGGGGAUGACGGCCUUCGGGUUGUAAACGCCUUUCGCUAGGGACGAAGCGUUAUGUGACGGUACCUGGAGAAGAAGCACCGGCUAACUACGUG
rnacentral:rRNA from 1 species